rnacentral:rRNA from 1 species
AUGGCGGAGGGCUGCACGCUUGACUUCGACAUCGCCGUCUUCAACAUGGAUAAGAUCUCCCUUGCCGGCCACAAUGAGGCCCGCACCUGCACUGCUUAUAUGGUGGCGGGCGGGCGUAACCUCUUACCACUGCUCCCGGAGGCGUCAAGGGCGUCAUGCCCUCUGUCAUGA